rnacentral:rRNA from 1 species
GUGCCAGCCGCCGCGGUAAUACGUAGGUGGCAAGCGUUGUCCGGAUUUAUUGGGCGUAAAGCGAGCGCAGGCGGUUUCUUAAGUCUGAUGUGAAAGCCUUCGGCUCAACCGAAGAAGUGCAUCGGAAACUGGGAAACUUGAGUGCAGAAGAGGACAGUGGAACUCCAUGUGUAGCGGUGAAAUGCGUAGAUAUAUGGAAGAACACCAGUGGCGAAGGCGGCUGUCUGGUCUGUAACUGACGCUGAGGCUCGAAAGCAUGGGUAGCAAACAGGAUUAGAUACCCUGGUAGUCCAUGCCGUAAACGAUGAGUGCUAGGUGUUGGAGGGUUUCCGCCCUUCAGUGCCGCAGCUAACGCAUUAAGCACUCCGCCUGGGGAGUACGACCGCAAGGUUGAAACUCAAAGGAAUUGACGGGGGCCCGCACAAGCGGUGGAGCAUGUGGUUUAAUUCGAAGCAACGCGAAGAACCUUACCAGGUCUUGACAUCCUUUGACCACUCUAGAGAUAGAGCUUUCCCUUCGGGGACAAAGUGACAGGUGGUGCAUGGUUGUCGUCAGCUCGUGUCGUGAGAUGUUGGGUUAGGUCCCGCAACGAGCGCAACCCUUAUUACUAGUUGCCAGCAUUUAGUUGGGCACUCUAGUGAGACUGCCGGUGACAAACCGGAGGAAGGUGGGGACGACGUCAAAUCAUCAUGCCCCUUAUGACCUGGGCUACACACGUGCUACAAUGGAUGGUACAACGAGUCGCGAGACCGCGAGGUUUAGCUAAUCUCUUAAAACCAUUCUCAGUUCGGAUUGUAGGCUGCAACUCGCCUACAUGAAGCCGGAAUCGCUAGUAAUCGCGGAUCAGCAUGCCGCGGUGAAUACGUUCCCGGGCCUUGUACACACCGCCCGU